rnacentral:lncRNA from 1 species
CAAUGCCUCUACGGCGCAGAUCACCAUCACCUGUACAACAUCGUAGAUCACCAUCACCUGUUCGGCGUCGUGGAUCACCAUCACCAAUUCGACGUCGUAGAUCUCCAUCACCUUCUCGUCGACGAAGAUCUCCACCUAUUCGGCGCCGUCGAUCUCCUUCACCAAUACGGCGCCGUCGAUCUCCUUCACCCUUGCAUCAUAGGUCACCAUCACCCACAAGGCGUAUAUCUCCCUCUCCUGUGCAACGGCUGUAUCAGCGGUCUCCAUUGGCAUCGCAUAGGUCUCCUUCUCCAAUUGGGUA